UACGUAGGCAGCGAGCGUUGUUCGGAGUUACUGGCGUAAAGGGUGUGUAGGCGCCUAUUAAGUUUGGUGUGAAAUCUCCCGGCUCAACCGGGAGGGUGCGCCGAAAACUGGGAGGCUAGAGUGCGGGAUGGGAGAGUGGAAUUCCUGGUGUAGCGGUGAAAUGCGUAGAUAUCAGGAGGAACACCGGUGGUGCAGACGGCUCUCUGGACCGUAACUGACGCUGAGACACGAAAGCGUGGGUAGCAACAGG
rnacentral:rRNA from 1 species